rnacentral:rRNA from 1 species
GAAAUGCGAUACGUAAUGUGAAUUGCAGAAUUCAGUGAAUCAUCGAAUCUUUGAACGCACCUUGCGCCCCUUGGCAUUCCGAGGGGCACACCUGUUUGAGUGUCGUGAAAUUCUCAAAAACCUGUUCUUUAAUAAGAAAAGGAUUUUUGGACUUGGAGGUUUAAUGCUGGCUUUUGUCUUGAAAGCAAGCUCCUCUGAAAUAGAUUAGUAGGGUCUGCUUUGCUGAUUCUUAAUGUGAUAAGAUGCUUCUACAUUUUGGAUUUGGCACUGUAUUUUAGAUGCCUGCUUCUAACUGUCUUAUUAGACAAUGAUGGUGUCUCUGGUCACUGCUAUUUAUUUAUAUUGGCAGGAGGCUCGACCCACAUAAAAGAAAUAACCUUGACCUCAAAUCAGGUGAGACUACCUGCUGAACUUAA